rnacentral:rRNA from 1 species
AUUGAACGCUGGCGGCAUGCCUUACACAUGCCAGUCGAACGGUAACAGGUCUUCGGACGCUGACGAGUGGCGAACGGGUGAGUAAUACAUCGGAACGUGCCCGAUCGUGGGGGAUAACGAGGCGAAAGCUUUGCUAAUACCGCAUACGAUCUACGGAUGAAAGCGGGGGAUCUUCGGACCUCGCGCGGACGGAGCGGCCGAUGGCAGAUUAGGUAGUUGGUGGGAUAAAAGCUUACCAAGCCGACGAUCUGUAGCUGGUCUGAGAGGAUGAUCAGCCACACUGGGACUGAGACACGGCCCAGACUCCUACGGGAGGCAGCAGUGGGGAAUUUUGGACAAUGGGCGAAAGCCUGAUCCAGCCAUGCCGCGUGCAGGAUGAAGGCCUCCGGGUUGUAAACUGCUUUUGUACGGAACGAAAAGCCUCUUUCUAAUAAAGAGGGGUCAUGACGGUACCGUAAGAAUAAGCACCGGCUAACUACGUG